UCGGGAAUUUUGGGCAAUGGGGGAAACCCUGACCCAGCAACGCCGCGUGAAGGAUGAAGUAUUUCGGUAUGUAAACUUCGAAAGAAUAGGAAGAAUAAAUGACGGUACUAUUUAUAAGGUCCGGCUAACUACGUGCCAGCAGCCGCGGUAAUACGUAGGGACCAAGCGUUGUUCGGAUUUACUGGGCGUAAAGGGCGCGUAGGCGGCAUGACAAGUCACUUGUGAAAUCUCUGGGCUUAACCCAGAACGGCCAAGUGAUACUGUCGCGCUAGAGUGCAGAAGGGGCAAUCGGAAUUCUUGGUGUAGCGGUGAAAUGCGUAGAUAUCAAGAGGAACACCUGAGGUGAAGACGGGUUGCUGGGCCGAC
rnacentral:rRNA from 1 species